AACACUGUUAACCUGCGGUACCUGCGGAGGGAUCAUUACAGAGUUGCAAAACUCCCUAAACCAUUGUGAACGUUACCUAAACCGUUGCUUCGGCGGGCGGCCCGGGUCCUUCCCGGCGCCCCUCGGCCCUCGCGGGCGCCCGCCGGAGGUAAACCAAACUAUUGCAUUGUAUGGCCUCUCUGAGUCUUCUGUACUGAAUAAGUCAAAACUUUCAACAAUGGAUCUCAGAUCGGAAGAGCA
rnacentral:misc_RNA from 1 species